rnacentral:lncRNA from 1 species
AGCACCAGGCUCUAUCGCCGGAUUGCUUUUGAGCUGGCAGUUGCUUUUUUGUGUUGGCUGAUCCGGUGUCAGGGAGAACAAUGCGGGGCUUUGCAGAAUUUUGGGCCGCGUGGGGCUGGCUGGGGGCAGGGAGGCAUGGCACACUGGAGAGCGGCCUCACGGGCCGUGAUUAAUUAUAGGAGAACUUUUCCAUUAGUAAACUGCAAAACAAAUUUUGUUGGUCCUUUUUAUUUAACAUUCAUCUUGCACACCGAUGCAAAUUGCUCCAUGCUCCUUCCCAAGCUCUUCAGCAGUGGGAAGCAAAGCAGCUCCUUGUUCCUUUUUGAUGGGGUUGUGCAGUCAGGUAAAUAGGCCUCCCGCCUCUCUGAGCGUAUGUUCUAUCAGGAGUCAGCCUCAUCUCCCACAUGUACAAGCAGGAAUGUUUUACAUUCACGUUUCCUCUGUUACUUGUUCCUCAUGCUGGAGUUAAUCAACAGAGAGAAGAUAAAGGGCUGGCAGCAGCCAUGGAGGCUUCCCAAGAUGCAGGAAGAGCUCCUGCCACAGGAGAGAAGAGGUGAUUGACUGGCAUCCACCUGUGCUCAUGUCCCAGGGCUGUGACUGAAGCUGGAGCUCACCCAGGUUCCUGUGUUCACUUUACCAAUGCCUUGGUUUGUCCAAGCAAAGUGAUACCUAUCUCCUGAAAUACUCAGAUCAAGACUGAAUGCUCAUUUGAUAGUUUCUUAAAUCAAACACAAGCUACUGGGAUUAGCAGAGAUUUAUUGACCUGUUGUACAAACCGUGUGAUCUUCAGUGAUGCAAGAGACUUGUUCAACUCAGUGAAUUUAGGAACUAAAAUGACUCUUAUGCUAGGGUCAUCAGUUUCAGCCAUAGACAGCAACUUGAACCUGGAAAGUAGAUCACCUUGCUCACAGAGCAGGUCCAUAGAGCAAACUGUGAAGUCAUCUUAGGAAAUGACUAAAAGGGAAUGGCAAGUGUUAUAUAACUUCUUGCUGUAUCACAAGACUACUGUAAUUCUUCCGGGUUUAGGUCCUGUUGGAAAAGAUCCAGUCUGAGCUUAUAUUUCUGUCUUGACUCUCAGCUCGUAUAUUCAAGCUUCUGCGAGCAAACAAAUCCAUCUUUCAUUUGGAUACACUUAUAGAAAAGGAAACUACUUAUUUUUAUUAGUUAUCUUUUAUAAAACAAGGAUAUAAACAUUUAUAAAAUAAGCAUAUGUGUAAAAUCUCUGUUACCAGAUAAAAUAAUCUGCUUGAGUUACUCUAGUGCCCACCUGUCUUCAGAGAAUGUUCUUCGAGCCUAAGAGCUACUGUACAAGUAAAGUUACUAACAGACAGUCUGAACAGCGAUUACAGUG